rnacentral:rRNA from 1 species
GACGAACGCUGGCGGCGUGCCUAACACAUGCAAGUCAACUUGACGGAAGGAGCAAUCUGACCGUAGAGUGGCGCAAGGGUGCGUAACGCGUAAGUAACUUGCCCCAAGGUAAGGAAUAACGUCGAGAAAUCGGCGCUAAUACCUCAUAAUGCAGCGGAUCCGCAUGGAUAUGUUGUUAAAGGUUUACCGCCUUGGGAUAGGCUUGCGUCUGAUUAGCUAGUUGGUGUGGUAACGGCACACCAAGGCUACGAUCAGUAACUGGUCUGAGAGGAUGAUCAGUCACACUGGAACUGAGACACGGUCCAGACUCCUACGGGAGGCAGCAGUGAGGAAUAUUGGGCAAUGCUCGAAAGAGUGACCCAGCAACGCCGCGUGGAGGAUGAAGGUAUUCUAUAUCGUAAACUCCUGUGAGAGCAGACGAAAGACAGAUUAUUAAUCUGGAUGACUGUAUGCUCAGAGGAAG